rfam:Aedes albopictus isolate Foshan contig56510, whole genome shotgun sequence.
UAGUCUAGUGGUUAAGGCUAUGGAUCUUUAAUCCGCAGACGGCGGGUUCGAUUCCCGU